CCCUAUGGGGUGCUACAGCGCGUUGAGCAUGCCCAUGGAAAACGGCCUGCUGCCUGUGCCCUCUCUUGAACCCCGUGCUUACCUGUUCGGGCAGGCCUUUCGCAACAGUUAUCUGUAUCUGUGGGUCUUUAUCCCUGCAGUUUUUUCCGGUAUUAUACCAGGAUAUGAUAAAAAGAUAGAAUUCAACUUCGUUGAUCAGUUUUUCGGAAUUGGAACGGUACUCUAUGCCAAGAUACUGGCAGGAUGUAUAUAUUACAUAUCACUGCUGGCCCUUUCCCUGCCGGCUGUGUAUUACUGGUCCAUGGCGGGAGAGC
rnacentral:rRNA from 1 species